GUGGGGGAUAUUGCACAAUGGAGGAAACUCUGAUGCAGCGACGCCGCGUGAGUGAAGAAGUAUUUCGGUAUGUAAAGCUCUAUCAGCAGGGAAGAUAAUGACAGUACCUGACUAAGAAGCCCCGGCUAACUACGUGCCAGCAGCCGCUGUAAUACGUAGGGGGCAAGCGUUAUCCGGAUUUACUGGGUGUAAAGGGAGCGUAGACGGAAUGGCAAGUCUGAAGUGAAAUCCUGCGGCUUAACUGCAGAAUUGCUUUGGAAACUGUCAAUCUGGAGUGUUGGAGAGGUAAGCGGAAUUCCUGGUGUAGCGGUGAAAUGCGUAGAUAUCAGGAAGAACACCUGAGGCGAAGGUGGCUUACUGGACAAUAACUGACGUUGAGGCUCGCAAGCGUGGGAAGCAAACAGGAUUAGAAACCCUUGUAGUCC
rnacentral:rRNA from 1 species